GGGUAUGGCUCAGUGGUAGAGGGCAUGCUUAGCAUGCAUGAGGUCCUGGGUUUAAUCCCCAGUGCCUCCA
rnacentral:tRNA from 1 species